rnacentral:rRNA from 14 species
GGGUAGUCGUAGCGAAAGCGAGUCUGAAUAGGGCGUUGUAGUGGCAGGAUCUAGACCCGAAGCGGAGUGAUCUAUCCAUGGCCAGGUUGAAGCGACGGUAAGACGUCGUGGAGGACCGAACCCACUUCAGUUGAAAAUGGAGGGGAUGAGCUGUGGGUAGGGGUGAAAGGCCAAUCAAACUGGGAAAUAGCUCGUACUCCCCGAAAUGCAUUUAGGUGCAGCGUUGAUUUAUAGUUUUAUAGAGGUAGAGCUACUGAUUGGAUGCGGGGGCUUCACCGCCUACCAAUUCCUGACAAACUCCGAAUGCUAUAAAAUGUUAAUCAGCAGUGAGGGCAUGGGUGCUAAGGUCCAUGUCCGAGAGGGAAAGAACCCAGACCAUCAGCUAAGGUCCCCAAAUGUAUGUUAAGUUGAAUAAACGAGGUUGAACUGCUUAGACAGCUAGGAUGUUGGCUUGGAAGCAGCCAUUCAUUUAAAGAGUGCGUAACAGCUCACUAGUCGAGCGGUUCGGCAUGGAUAAUAAUCGGGCAUAAACAUAUUACCGAAGCUAUGGACUUGAAAAAGUGGUAGGGGAGCAUUGUAGUGUCGUCGAAGGUGAAGCGUGAGCUUUGCUGGAGAAGCUACAAAAGAAAAUGUAGGCAUAAGUAACGAUAAUGCGGGCGAGAAACCCGCACUCCGAAAGACUAAGGUUUCCUCAGCUAUGCUAAUCAGCUGAGGGUUAGUCGGGGCCUAACGCGAACCCGAAAGGGGUAGUGGAUGGACAACAGGUUAAUAUUCCUGUACCUGCUCACACUAAAAGUGACGGAGGCGAAUAGUUAGUGCGCACAGACGGAAUUGUGCGUUGAAGGGAACAGUAAUGUCCUGAUAGUACACUAAGACUACGGUCGCGGUGAUAAUCUAGCGAAUCGACUUCCAAGAAAAGCGAGUGAAGCAGCCCGUACCCUAAACCGACACAGGUAGUUGGGAUGAGAAUUCUAAGGAGCUCGAGAGAUUCAUGGCUAAGGAACUAGGCAAAAUAGACGCGUAACUUCGGGAGAAGCGUCGCCCAUCGUAAGAUGGGCCGCAGUGAAAAGAUCCAAGCGACUGUUUAUCAAAAACACAGGGCUCUGCUAAAUCGAAAGAUGAUGUAUAGGGCCUGACACCUGCCCGGUGCUGGAAGGUUAAG